rnacentral:rRNA from 1 species
AGAGUUUGAUCCUGGCUCAGAUUGAACGCUGGCGGCAUGCCUUACACAUGCAAGUCGAACGGCAGCACGGGGGCAACCCUGGUGGCGAGUGGCGAACGGGUGAGUAACACAUCGGAACGUAUCCUGUUGUGGGGGAUAACUAGUCGAAAGAUUAGCUAAUACCGCAUAAGCUGGAGACAGGAAAGCGGGGGAUCGCAAGACCUCGCGCGAUUGGAGCGGCCGAUGUCCGAUUAGCUAGUUGGUGGGGUAAAGGCCUACCAAGGCGACGAUCGGUAGCUGGUCUGAGAGGAUGAUCAGCCACACUGGGACUGAGACACGGCCCAGACUCCUACGGGAGGCAGCAGUGGGGGAUUUUGGACAAUGGGGGCAACCCUGAUCCAGCCAUGCCGCGUGAGUGAAGAAGGCCUUCGGGUUGUAAAGCUCUUUCGGUGGGAACGAAACGGUUACGGCUAAUAUCCGUGACUACUGACGGUACCUACAGAAGAAGCACCGGCUAACUACGUGCUAGCAGCCGCGGUAAUAC